rnacentral:rRNA from 1 species
UACAGAGGUCUCAAGCGUUGUUCGGAUUCAUUGGGCGUAAAGGGUGCGUAGGCGGGUCUUUAAGUCAGGGGUGAAAUCCUGGAGCUCAACUCCAGAACUGCUUUUGAUACUGAGGAUCUUGAGUCCGGGAGAGGUGAGUGGAACUGCGAGUGUAGAGGUGAAAUUCGUAGAUAUUCGCAAGAACACCAGUGGCGAAGGCGGCUCACUGGCCCGGUACUGACGCUGAGGCACGAAAGCGUGGGGAGCAAACAGG